UUUAAUUGAAAUUUUCCAAUCAAAAUCCCUAAUUUCUAGAACUCAUCAAAUGUUUUCCUCUAUAGCAUCACAAAUGUCUCCUCUCCGGCGCUCGAAACCUCGAUAAACUCUCUAGAUCUUGUCUUCAAAUCAUUAGUGCAUUGAACUAUUUGUCCUCAUUAGAGCAUUGAUGAUGGUCGACAGGAACUCGUUUUCUCUCCGGUGUCUCUCUUAUCCUGUGUUCGUCUUUGAUGCUAUCAUUUAAACAAAGGCGAGAAGUGUAGUUGAUGAAGUCGUCUUAUAUGUCAUCUCCGAAGGAGGUGGUGAUGAAGCGAACUCUGCCACCAUCAAAGUCGCGACUAGAGGGAAAACGGUGAUGACGAUGUCACUAUCAAAAUCCUUUACUGUGGAUUUUGUCAUUCUGACUUGCAUUCUUGCAAAAAUGAAUGGGGGGUCUCUAAUUACCCUCUCGUUCUUGGGUAUGAAACUAUUUUUUCUUGAAACUAUAAUGUUUAACAUAUAUCAUACUAUUCUUAGGACUGAAUUAGAUGUACCUACACAGAAAUUUUACUGAGUCAGAAUCUUUACCGCAUAACGUCCCUGGCUGUGCUGCAACAUAUUGUUUUAUCAUGUGCUGUUGAAUGAUUUUGUAUUAAUAUGCCAAGUCUGGUCCUAGAUUGGUGUAAGUCAAUCCUUUACUGUUGAAUGAUUUCUCUGAUUACGGUAUAAAGUAUAUUCGGUUAUUGCACAGUUGAAUUUC